rnacentral:rRNA from 1 species
CCUACGGGCGGCAGCAGUGAGGAAUAUUGGUCAAUGGACGAGAGUCUGAACCAGCCAAGUAGCGUGAAGGAUGACUGCCCUAUGGGUUGUAAACUUCUUUUAUAUGGGAAUAAAAUGUUCCACGUGUGGGAUUUUGUAUGUACCAUAUGAAUAAGGAUCGGCUCACUCCGUGCCAGCAGCCGCGGUAAUACGGAGGAUCCGAGCGUUAUCCGGAUUUAUUGGGUUUAAAGGGAGCGUAGGUGGAUUGUUAAGUCAGUUGUGAAAGUUUGCGGCUCAACCGUAAAAUUGCAGUUGAAACUGGCAGGCUUGAGUACAGUAGAGGUGGGCGGAAUUCGUGGUGUAGCGGUGAAAUGCUUAGAUAUCACGAAGAACUCCGAUUGCGAAGGCAGCUCACUGGACUGCAACUGACACUGAGGCUCGAAAGUGUGGGUAUCAAACAGGAUUAGAUACCCCAGUAGUC